rnacentral:rRNA from 1 species
UACGAAGGGGGCUAGCGUUGCUCGGAAUCACUGGGCGUAAAGCGCACGUAGGCGGCUUGUUAAGUCAGGGGUGAAAUCCUGGAGCUCAACUCCAGAACUGCCUUUGAUACUGGCGAGCUUGAGUCCGGGAGAGGUGAAUGGAACUGCGAGUGUAGAGGUGAAAUUCGUAGAUAUUCGCAAGAACACCAGUGGCGAAGGCGGCUCACUGGCCCGGUACUGACGCUGAGGUGCGAAAGCGUGGGGAGCAAACAGG